ensembl:lncRNA
AGUUAUUUAUAUAUUUGAUAUGAACUUUUUGUUAUAUGUGUUGCAAAUAUUACUGUCAUUCUGAGCUUGACUUCUCACUAUUUUAUGGUGUCUGUGGAGGACUAGAGAAUUUUAUUUUUAAGAUAAUGAGUUUUAUCAGUAUUUUCCUCUGUAGUUAAUGUUUUCUAUGCUCUUUAAGAGAGCUUUGUUUACCCUGCAGCCAUGGAAGUAUCCUUUUAUAGUCUAACGGCCUUGUUGUUUCACCUUCUAUAUUAGAUUUAUGAUGGACACGGCAUUGAUCUCUUUCCCUCCCUCUUAUCUCCCCAUUUCUCUCACUUCCUUUCUUCCCUACUUCCUUCCUUUUAUUUUUGUGGUGGAAAUUGAAGCCAAAGGUAUUUCUUAUCCUACCAAUGAGCUGUACUGCAGCCCAUUGCAAAGAUUUUUGUGUAUGGUGUGAGGAUGGGAUCAAAUUUAUUUUCUUCUAUUGCUGCUAUCCACUGACCUUGCACCAUGCAUGGAAAAGACUUCCUUUCUUCAAUGCUCUGCAGUGACACUUUGAUCAUAAAUUAAGUACCUACUAAUUUACGGAAACAUCACAAUGGCUUUUCCCCUUUGUUCUGUUAGUGUUGUGAAUUUUUCUUGUCUUUUUCUUCUUUCUGUCCUGGAACCCAAGGCCUCACUCAUGUGAGGCAAAUGUUCCACCACUGAGCUUCAGCCCUAACCCUCAAAGCGGUUUUUUUUUUUUUUUUGGGGUAGCAGGGAUGAAACGCAGGCCCUUGUGCUUGUGAGGCAGGCGGCAGAACCACUGAGUUAAAUUCCCAGCCCAAAGGGUUUUUGAAUGUUAAAACAGUCUUUUAUUUUGGACUAAAUCCUACAUAGUUGUGUGAAGUAUUAUAUUUUAUGCAUGUUGCUGCAUGCAUUUUAUUCAUAUUUCUAAAAAGUAAUUCUAUAGCAAUGUUUAUGAAUUGAAUUGUAACUAUAACUUUCUUUUAUUAUGAAAGAACUCAUCAGUUGUAUUUUCAAGUUCUGCUAGCUCAUGAGACAUUCUCUUUGUCUCCUCUUUAUCUCUCCAUUUAUUUUUCAGUGCCAAGAUAGAAGCACUUUCCUGUGAGAAGUAUCCUUUUAACACACACACACACACACACACACACACACACAUGCACAUGCACACGCACGAGUGCGCACAUUUUCCCAGUGAUGGGGACUAUUGAAUUCAGGGCCUCAUGCCUGCUAGGCAAAUGCUCUGCCACUGAGCUAUACUGCCAGGCCUUUUAAGGACAUUUUAUUUUGAGACAGGAUCUUCCUAAGGUGCCCAGGCUGGUUUUGAAUUUAGGAUCCACUUGCUUUAGCCUCCUGAGUAGCUGAGAUUAUAGGUAUAUGCCACUAGGCUUAACUUCCUUCUUUAUACAGUGGUACCUCAGUUCAUGAACUUAAUUCUUUCCAUGAUUCUGAUUGUAAACUGAAUUGGAUGAGAACCAAAUCAAAUUCAAUGGUUAGGUUUGAUGUCGACCUUAUGGGGAAAUUUAAUUUGGUUCUCAUGCAAUUUGGUUUGCAAUCAGAAUCAUGGAAAGAAUGGUUUGUGAACCGAGGCACCACUGUAUUCUCUUAAAAGUUAAAAUGUAAAUAAAUAAGUAUAAUUUAAUAUAGUAAUUAAAUAUGCACAUAGCAUGUCUGAGUAAGUGUUUACCAGUGUCCUUCCCUUUCAGGCCCCUGCAUUUUAACAUAGACUUGCCAGAGGAAGCUGGCUCAUGUGCAUUUUGUGAAGGAAAGUGAGCAGCAUGGGGUUGUCCACUGGAGACUCCAUAUGGCACACUGCAGUAUGCUCCUGUGUCCAAGGCUGAAACUUAGAACCAUAUCUCAGUUCUGGAUCUGGCAUCCAGGCCCAUCUUGAUCCUGGGUUUAGGAGACAGCCUAUAGCAUGCAGCUCCCUUUGAGACAUGUGACAAGCAUGUGGAUAAAGACCCAGAGUCUUCAAAGCUAAUUUCACCUCUGACAUCUGACCUCUUCAGUCAAUAUCCCUCAGUACUGGGUAUCUCAUAGGUCCCUGUUCCUCCUUCCCUGUGUCCUAUUGUCCUAGUUCAGACCCCACCUCUGUCACUCAUUGCCGGGACCACAGAACCAGUGGGAUCCUAGCCUUCAACUCUUCCUCUUCCCCACCAUUCCCACACUCACUCUAAAUGGGAAGCUGAUAGUUUGCCCCUUGCUGAAAAUUGUGCAGUGGUUUUACGUUGCUCUACAAGAUGAUUCGAUUCAGCAUCUGUCCUUCCAGGGUAUUUCAGUCUGCUUAGGUAGCAUCACACAAUACCUUGGACUAGAUGAUUUACAAUCAGUAAAAAUUUACUGUGCAUGGUUCUGAAGGUGGUGAAGUCCAGGAUCUGGCUCCUGAAAGACUGCAUGACUGGGACAGCAGAGGAAGAGGGAUAAAGUGCCUGGAUAUGUGCAUUCAUCGAGUGUCCUGAAGAUGCUCCUUCUGACUGGAAGAGCUGAAGAGACAAGACUUUUCACUAAGUGAUAUUUUUGAUGCAGUCUAAGGAUUUAUCUCAAAAUCCCAGUCACAUUACUUCCUGAGAACAAAAGGUCUGCUGAAGUUGCCUGAUGAAAAGUCCAGCCUUCCAGAAUCUUCCAUUCUACAAGUGCUACCUACAGUGACUCUGAGAGAUUGAUUAUUUAUUACGGAGAUGGGAAGAAAAGGAAACGACCAGCCCGUCACACGUCCCUGGCCCAGAUCUGCCAGUCUCUCUCUUCCCGGUCUCAGGAAACUGUGCUGACAGUCCUCGAGGUGCGGUGGGGAGGCUACUACUGAGUCAACCAGCCCACCUGAUCGAGACAGCACAAAAAAGCUUUGGGUGUAUGCCUUCUAUUUUAUAAAGCACAGAGUUUACUCAAAAGCAGACUGUAUGUUUCUCCAGAAGCUCCUGUUUGCCUCCAGUGGCCAGAGAGUGACAGACCCACUGUCUAGUGCUGUAUGAGCACACUCUGUCAUGUCCCUAAAGCAGUAAAAUCAGGGAAUGAUGCAUUUCAGAGCACACAUUCCUGCCAUGGAGAAAAGCAUGAUAGUGGCCCAGGGAAAUGAGGGAACUGGCAUCUACUUGUAAGUAAUGGCCCCAGGAGAGGCUGUUACCAUGGUUCCAAUGGAGGUAGGAACAGCCUAUUCCACGGGGAGCAAGAAUGACCUGCAAGAUUUCAAGAUUGAGACAACUUGAACUCAUUCAAUGGCUCUUAAAGUUUGUCUUCCAAUUUUUGAAGUCCUUCCUCCACUUAUGGUCAAGUCUCUGAUGCUUGUGUAUGAUUUGAUGAGGCUGGUGAUUACUGUCAUUUACCACCUUUCCAUCUCAGGUCCUGCUCCAAUUUUGGGUGACUCCAGACUUUUGACAAAAAAAUUCUUUUUUUGGAAGACAGCCUGCCUUCCUGGCUCCUCACGUCUUUCUCUGAGCUUUCCAGCAUGAUCAGAAGUCCUAAGUCCCCCUCCGUGCAAAGCUUCCAUUGGCCAUAAUUAUUUGUGCAGACAGCUAUCAGCUAUGGAGCCAGCCAGAGCCUUGUGUCCAGUAGACCCCAGAUGACCACCAAUGACAAUUCACCAUCCUUUAUGUUAAUAGGAUCCCAUCCAGAUUCCCUUUUUCCUGAUUCUGUUGGUUUCAGAGCAUGGAUGGGACUUGAGAGAAGAGCAUCACGUAAUAGACACAGGAAGCUGCCUGCAGUAGAUUCACCAGAAGGGUCCUUACUCAUUGCUAUGUUAGGAGUGGCUUUCAGAGUCACUAGAAUGUGAGACUGAGCCUCUAGCUCAGCUCUCAGGACUAAUUGGGAGGUAAAGGGUUGCCAUUUCUCCACCGGGGUUGAGAAAGCUCCUUCUACCACUGUAGGGAACGUUCAUUCAGCAGCCAGUGGCUGUCAUGAGGUUAAUGUCUUUCUCCUCUUUGGUGGUGAGCGUCUUUGACUGGUGCAUCCUGAGUUCUGUUCAAGACCUUGGCUCCCAAGGCUGGGGGCUCUCCACCCCCCACAUAGCAGAAAGUCACAUGAGGACUGGAGCUGGGCUCCGGGGAGACAGUUUACAGGACCCACCAGCACUGUGGACCCUCAGCCUCCCUCAGCCCCUUCUCUUUAGCUACUGGGAUCCUGUUCAGCUUGAUCAGCUCAGUAAAUGAAGCCAUUUUCUUGUGAUUUUAUCAUGCACUUGAUUAGCUGAACCUUUUAUUCUAGUGUUUUUUCUUAUUUUAAAAAAAUCUCUGUUCUUUAUUUUCUAUUUUUAUACAGGUGUGCCUGUUUUUGCUUUAUUGGUUUAUAAGAACUUUUUACAUACAUGUCUCUUUUUGAAAGAAGCCCACGAAAAUUUAAAAUUUUUUUGUGUAUUCAAACAUUUAACUUUUUUUCUGCCAUGGCUGCUGAUUUUGGAGUUUAAUUUUUAAAGUUCUAAUUUAUGAUUAUAUAAAUAUUCAACAAUUUUGGUAUAGUUUUGGCUUUUGUGUUAAAUCUUUAAUCCUGUAUUGUGUUUUGCUAUAUGAUAUAGAAUAGGAGUCCAAUUUUCUAUUUUCCAAAUGGGGAUCCACUUGUUCCCAUAUUCCAAAGGGCACCAAAAUUUAUGAGUGCUCACGUCUGUCCCCUAUAUAAGAUGGUGUAGUAUUUGCACACUACCUACACAUUCUCUUGUAUGCAUCCCAUCAUUUAUAGUUUCCUUUUGACACUUAAUACAAUCCAAUCACUACACACACAGUUGCUACACUGUAUCAGUAAGGGAAGAAUGACAAGAAAAAAACCCCUCUACAUGUUCAGGGCAGAUGCAUUCUGUCUCCAAAUAUUUCCAGGCCACAGUUGUCGAAUCCUUGGAUGUGGAGCUUGUGCACACAGAGGUUGGCUGUAUGUGAAUGAUAUGGUCUUUCAUUAUCAAUUUAAAAUGUGCCAGAUUCUGGACCAUCUCUUCUGGUCCAUUAGUCUGUUUCUACAUCAGUCUCAUACUCAGGCAUUCUUAUUUUUAAGACAUGUCUUGGUUAUAUUAAUAGGUUACCUCAUGCCAAUACAAUUUAGGGAAUUUUUGUCAGGAUUUUUAAAAUUCCAGUGAUAUUUUGAUUAAAAAUUAUCUCAAACCAUAUAUCAGCUAUGGUGUCUUUCUGUCUGGGAACAGAAGAGGUGGCUGGUCACCAAAGGUGUGUGCUGUGGUGAGAAUGCUAUGACUCAGACCCCAAUUCUGGCAGCACUUACACACAUGAGCCAUGAGGAACUGAGGUGCUUCUCACCUUCAGCGUCUUCAUGCACAGCAUGGGAGAAACAUGGCAGGUGGUGCAGGUGUGGUAUGGACAGGUGAGAGAGCAGAAUAUCUGGCACGGGACCUGAAUGCCAGCCUAGCUUUCCAGGAUUCUGGAUGCCAUGGGCACCUACUUUUAAAGCACAGGUAGACUUAUUAACCUUUCAUUUAGAUGAUGAAUGAUGUUUUCAUUACAUUUUCUUCUUGGUGUUUUGGUUUUGCUGUUACUAUUGUGGCUCAGGUAUUGGAUAGAUCUUUCUAUCUCUGCAGCAGUAGCACACUGUAGCAUUCUUUUUUAAAAGAAUAAAUGUAGCACAUUAAAUAAUUACAUUUAAAAAUGGAUGGA